GCUCUGGGCUCCUUGUUGGCUUGUUGCCCCAUUAACAUCAGGAAUUCUUGGAUCUUCACUAUGGCACUCCCAUUGGUAUGGAUCUCCUACUGUCUAUUGAUUUCUGCUUCUCUCUAGGCAUUUUCUUUUUUCUCUUCUUGUACCAUCUGACUGACUCCAUCCAUGUCUCCAGGAGGAAGAAUGUGACCAUACUUGCUAAUUACCAUGGUCCACGCUUAGGGCUCUUACCCCAUGGCCUCUUGUAGGUCAUCAGUCAACCCACAAAGUGGCUGCCUGUGGUUUAGGUAGGACCAUUAAUCAAGGGGAACACAGCAGGCUUGUGUUUCACCAUAAUCAUAGCCAACCCCUCUUUGAGACUAUUCCCCACAGGACCUCUGGGAUCGUGUCAAGCUCAAUACAUUGAUCCAGGUACCCAGAACGCCAGUCACUGUGUCUUUGUCCCCACUCAGAACACAUUACCCCUGAUCUUUUCUUACCAGCAUUCUAACCCUCUAGCCUUCAUCGUGGGGAAGCGUUGACAGCUUAAUACGAAACAGUCUCACCACAAAACAACCUGCUGGUUUCUGGAAACUCCCCAGCUCCCAGACUAAGGCAUUCAGGACAAUCCAAACUCCCAUUUCCACAAAUUCCAGAAUGGAUUUUCAUAAGCAUCAGGAACACUGAAAGGGCCUGUAGGCUCCACAGGGCACCUACAUUUCCUGGGGCUUCCCUCAGAAAGAAGGUGGAGGGUAAAUGCGGUGGCCGCGUAUAAGGAAAGGAAAAUGAAGGUUUUCAAGCCUGCAUGAAGCCUAGAAAGUGCCACUGUGUGUAGCCACACCCAUAAAUAUUUUUGCUUUGGUAAAAUUACAGGCAGAGGGCCCUGCCAAUUCAGAAAACAAUCUAUUGGCUGCCAUUGCCUUGUGUUCCACACUCUGUGCGGUACCCACUGCAUAGAGAAAGUCACCUGGAAUUAAUAGGAUUCCUUGAUAUUUGUUUUCAACAAAUACUUCCUGAAUGCCUACUAUGCACCAAACUCCACAGUCAGGAACAGGCCUAAUCCUGUUGGUGUUUUUAUUUCAGUCUCAGCUCUGUCAACCUGCUUGAAGCUGCAAGGAAUUUGGUGCUCGGGGACAGGCCUCCACAAGUCCAAUGAAGUUGGCUGCGUUUCUGAUUCACUUCUCUAUCCAAGAAUAAAAAUAGGGGCUGAUCUACUCAAACGAUCCUGGGAGAUUAAAAGAUUUUGAAGCCAAAACAAAACCCGAGAUAAGCUGCCUACGUGUGCGUGAGGAGGCAAGUCAGUUCCAGGAGCCAGCAGUGUCCGGGAAGGGCUCCCCGCAGCCUGACAGGACUUGUCCCAGCGACCUCUUCCCUCCCGAGGUCCUGUUACCUGUGUGCGUGUCAGGACAAAGCCCUCUGUGCCACUGGCCUCCCUCUCACGUGGUGCUGUCCUGCCCUUUUUUGCUCGAUGUUUGCUAAACAUCUGGAAGCAAACACCUGGACCACCUGCAACUUGGCAGAGGGAAGGAGCCUGGCCAAGAGAAUAAAAAAGGACCAGCCACACUUCACUGUAAGCCAUAUCCCCAGGCUUCUCAUUUCCCCUACCUGGGGAGGCAAUGACAAUAAUAGACUUCAGAAGUUAAUUGACUUAAUGAGUGGAACUCCUUCAAUCCAUUGAAGGCCUCAGUAGAACAACAACAACAAAAAGUGGAGGGAGAGAAAAUUCUUUCUCUCUGCCUAAUUGCUUGAGCUGGGUUAUUGUGUUCUCCUGCCCUCAGACUGCGACUUACACCUUUGGUUCUCCAGUUUCAUUUCUGUGGACUUGGACUAGAACUCAUACCAUCAGUUCUGGUUCUCAGGCCUUCAGAAUCAAACUGGAACGGCACCAGCAGCCUUCCUGGGUCUCCAGCUUGCAGACAGCAGACUGUGGAACUUCUCAGCCUCCAUAAUCACAUGAGUCAAUUCCUUAUAAUAAACCUCUCUCUCUCUCGACAGGUAGAUAGAAAGAUAGAUAGAUAGAUAGAUAGACAGAUAGAUAGAUAGAUCCCUUUACAGCAGGUGGCAGCUAAGGAGGAUCUUCCUAGUGGAGGCUGCAUGAACAUAAAGGGCAGCCCUAGUGCUGGAUCCUGGCCCUUGCAGGUGAGACGGCUCUGAUGAGCAGAGGAACACCAGGGUUCUCCGUCUCCAAAUUAGAUAAAAUGACCUGGACAUACAUGGAGUGGUUUUAAGAAGCAGAGAGUUUAACAGGCAAGAAAGAAGGGAGAAGAAAGAAGGAAGAAGCUCCCCUGUUACAGACACAGAGGAAUGGGGAGCUCCAAAGCCAAGAGAGAAGACCCCCUGUGCCACGGAAAAGUGGCUGCUUAUAUAAAUAGGCUGGAGGAGGUGAUGUCUGAUUUGCAUAGGGCUCAGGGGAUUGGUUCCACCAGGCAUGUCACUCACGUAGCCUGCAGAAAAAACUGGCCCUCCC
rnacentral:lncRNA from 10 species